GGACCCGCACAAGUAGUGGAGCAUGUGGUUUAAUUCGAAGAUACGCGCAGAACCUUACCAACACUUGACAUGUUCGUCGCGACUCUAAGAGAUUAGAGUUUUCGGUUCGGCCGGACGAAACACAGGUGCUGCAUGGCUGUCGUCAGCUCGUGUCGUGAGAUGUUGGGUUAAGUCCCGCAACGAGCGCAACCCUCACUUUUAGUUGCCAUCAUUAAGUUGGGCACUCUGAAAGAACUGCCAGUGAUAAGCUGGAGGAAGGUGGGGAUGACGUCAAGUCCUCAUGGCCCUUACGUGUUGGGCUACACACGUGCUACAAUGGUAUUUACAACAGGAAGCAAGACGGCGACGUUAAGCAAAUCCUUAAAAGAUACUUCAGUUCGGAUUGCACUCUGCAACUCGAGUGCAUGAAGCUGGAAUUGCUAGUAAUCG
rnacentral:rRNA from 1 species